CAGAAAAUCUACAUAAGAAUGCCAUUGUUUUUGCAGUGAAGGACAGUAAAACAAGCUUAAAGUGAUUAACUUUAAUUCAAUUUUUAUUCAUUUUCAUUUACUUCGUUUGAAAAAUUUGACCCUUUAGUCACUACGAUACUUGUACUCAAACAUAUUACAUCAAAUCAUAAUUUUUUGUUUAAAUCAUUGCUUAUCAAUGUGGUUUUUAUCAAUUUCAGAGGACUAUGACAGAGCUUUAAAAAAUGUUUACCGGUUAACCAAGGCCUACCUUCCCUCACGGCAUCGGAAACUGAAGAAAGAGGAGCAGGGAAGAGAAAACGUGCACCAAAUAAAAAUAUUUGUCAUCUUCCAACGACGAUACAGAUAGCAGUGAUCAGCCUGAUCCUGUCGAAACUUGCGAAAAGUCAAGGCAGACAAAAAAGACCAAUGUAGAACCAACUACACAGCCACUUAAGCUUCCCUCAGGACCAAAGACCCGUGGAGGCGGCACGACUCUUGACGACGCCAGUAUUGACGACUUUUUUGAUCAAUUUAAAACAAAGAAGCCACAAAUGUAUCGAAAACGCGUGAUACUUCGAAGCAGAGUAGCCAGUCGUCCCAAGAAGCAGGAACGCCUUGCAGCUGCCCACUAAAGGUCGGAAUAUUCCACCAUUGCGCGUGCAACAAGAUCCCGACUAUAGAAACUAUUUCUCAAAGCCUAUGUGUACUUUCACGAAGUGUAGAAAACCUAAUUAGGCAAUUCAAAUUGAAAGUGACGGACAUUGAUUUAAAAUUGGAGAAAUUGGUAGUUGCUGUGGAACAAUUGCAAGCUUUAAAUCAACAUCAUCCCACUGUUGUUGUCACCAACCCAGCAACUCAAGGACCUGUUGCCUCUACCUCUACCGGAACUGACAGUGUGACGAAUGAGGCAGCUGAUACCGCUGUCGCAAAAAUACUGAGCAUGCUCCCAAUUAGCUCCGAACCCGAUCUAACAUCAUUGGGACAAUUGUUAAAAGUCGACAAUACUGUUUAUGAUAAGUUGGUGAUUCAGUUGGAGCCAUUCGUAGAAACAACUACCGACUGCAAGACAGCCCGCAGUCUAGUGAGGGCUCUAAUCUCCAAAGAAUUCCUCUGUAAAUUUUCUUGGAAAGGCCAGCAGCGGAAGGACCUUGAGCGCAAAAUUGCCUUUGCUGCCGAUCCCAAUUCGUGUACUUUCAAAUUAAUGAAGAAGAUGGUCGAGAAAAUUCAUGGGGAAAGUGCAAACUUCACCCGCGUUAAUACCAGUGUAUCAGAUCUUUUCUCCCAUUCGAAAUCGACAAAAGGUACGUUGAGCUUAAUAAUUCAUCAUAUCAUUUUCCUUGGAAAGUCAGAUAAAAGUACGUGAAUGCAACCAUGCAUUUCACAUACUAAUACAUCAUCAGCAGGGUCUCUGGCAGUCUGAAGAAUUAGGCAACUUGGCGGAGCACCCAUGAAAGUUAAGGAAUUUUGCAAGCAUGAUACUAUGUUGUCUUGGCAACUUCAGGUGAUGCAAUUAACACAGGAGUGCUUAUUUCUGUCAUUUGAAUCGCACACGUGGCGUUGUAGCUAAAAUUGUUGCAAAAGUCAGUGUAUUUUUAAAAAUAAAAUUGCUGCGUAAGUUUUGUUACAAAGUCUGAAAAUGUAAACAUGGAGAAAUUAAGAAAACCUUGAUUAUGCAUUCAAGAUCGCAUCCUGAGAUUUCUGCAGUUCAUGUUGUUCAACCUUGUUCCUGUUGUAUCCCUGUUUCUUUGCUUUGUCUAACUGUUAAUUUGUAGCGCUGCGGUAGUGUAUAAAUAUGCGUAUCAAAGUUCUGUCCAAGAAUUCAGUCAUGUGAAAGAAAGGAAAAAGUAAUAUUUUGUUCCCCAAAAUGUACUUGCCCCAUUAUACUUUUUCCUAAGCAAACGGUAUUUUUUAUACUUGCAGUGCCACUAGUGACAGAGUAGCAGAAAAAUCAAAGCAGCACAACUGCAACUGAAUAAAGCACUCGCACAAGUGGAAGAUGAAAAAACCCCUCAAGAUGAAGGAACCUCUCAAGGUGUAACCCUUGAAGAUGAAGUUAACACUUGAAUUCUGUAUUUCUUACACAAGAUUCUUGCCAUUUUCUAUUACUGUUUAUAUUUCUGUCAUGUUUUUAUUUUUUCGUUAAGAUACAAGUGUUUGUGUUCACAUUUCAAAUAUGAAUUUCUUUGUAUAACAUUUCAAAGUACCAUUUUUCAAAUAUUUUAUCAUCCUCCCAUCAAUUCAACCCUUGCACUUUUCUGUCUGUUUUUUUUUUGUGUUGGGAAAAUUUUGGGAUCUUGAAGAUGAAGUUAAUACUUACGUGAAUUCUAGAUUUCUUACACAAGAUUCUUGCCAUUUUCUAUUACUGUAUAUAUUUCUGUCAUGUUUUUAUUUUUUCGUUAAAAUACAAGUGUUUGUGUUCACAUUUCAAACAUGAAUUUCUUUGUAUAACAUUUCAAAGUACCAUUUUUCAAAUAUUUUAUCAUCCUCGCAUCAAUUCAACCCUUGCACUUUUCUGUCUGUUUUUUUUUUUGUGCUGGGAAAAUUUUGGGGUCAUGAAAGCAAAAAUCCAGAUUAAUUCAUUCCAACGUUUCCACAUCCUAUUUUGAUUUUAACCCUUUGUAGGAGCAUUGACAUGCACUGCACUUUGAUUAAUUUUUCAGUCUUUAUUACAAUUUUUGAGAUUUUCUUUUAAAAUUCCAAAU
rnacentral:lncRNA from 1 species